rnacentral:rRNA from 1 species
ACGGGAGGCAGCAGUGGGGAAUUUUGGACAAUGGGGGCAACCCUGAUCCAGCAAUGCCGCGUGAGUGAAGAAGGCCUUCGGGUUGUAAAGCUCUUUUGUCAGGGAAGAAACGGUGAAGGCUAAUAUCUUUUGCUAAUGACGGUACCUGAAGAAUAAGCACCGGCUAACUACGUGCCAGCAGCCGCGGUAAUACGUAGGGUGCAAGCGUUAAUCGGAAUUACUGGGCGUAAAGCGUGCGCAGGCGGUUUUGUAAGA